CGUUUUCUAUUACUUCGCUUGGCGCUGAGCUCCUUCACCUCUCUCCAGAGCUUCCAAGGAGAAGAAGACAGCCAACUACAUGGUGGGUUUUGGCGGGAAAUCGCUGGUCCAUGUCGUCUCGGGAAUCGGCGGGAACGGAGUCUCCCGAGUUCUGGCGGCCAUGGCUGCCGGUCUGUUGUUCCGCUUAUUUUCAGGGCCAGGCCUAACGCUCUUGCCUGACAGCGACGCCGAUGAUGGCGAUGGUGAGAUGGACGGUGCCGGAGAUGAAGACGAAGCUUCAUUUCCGCGGAAAGUUCGUCCUGUCACCAUCCUUUGGAAGAACAUCACGUGCUCGCUUUCGGAUAAGUCUUUCAAAUCGGUGCGAUUUCUGCUAAAAAAUGUGUGCGGAGAAGCAAAACCUGGGAGGUUGCUUGCAAUAAUGGGUCCAUCUGGGUCUGGCAAGACAACAUUGCUCAAUAUUCUCGCUGGUCAGCUAAACGCAUCGCCCCGUUUGCAUCUGUCGGGCCUUUUGGAGAUCGAUGGGAAACCGAGCUCGGACAAAGAUUAUAAGUUUGCGUUUGUGAGACAGGAGGACUUGUUCUUCUCGCAGCUGACAGUGCGGGAAACGCUUUCUCUCGCGACAGAGCUUCAGCUUCGGGAGAUCUCUUCGGAGGAGGAAAGAGACGCGUAUGUGGACAACCUCUUGUUCAACCUGGGUCUGGCUAGCUGUGCAGAUUCAUGUGUUGGUGAUGCAAAGGUUCGUGGGAUCAGUGGUGGAGAAAAGAAACGUUUGUCGCUGGCGUGUGAAUUGAUCGCUAGUCCAUCUGUGAUAUUUGCUGAUGAACCCACAACCGGGCUUGAUGCUUUCCAGGCUGAGAAAGUGAUGGAGACAUUAAGACAGCUUGCUCAAGAUGGACAUACUGUGGUCUGCUCCAUACAUCAGCCUAGAGGUUCUGUAUAUGCUAAAUUCGAUGACAUUGUGUUGCUUACAGAGGGGGCGAUUGUCUAUGCUGGUCCUGCAGGCAAAGAACCUCUGACGUACUUUGGGAACUUCGGGUUCCUUUGCCCAGAUCAUGUGAACCCUGCUGAAUUUCUGGCAGAUCUUAUAUCCAUCGACUAUAGUUCUUCUGAGAGUGUCUAUUCUUCGCAGAAGAGAAUUCAUGCCCUUAUUGAUGCGUUCACACAGCGUUCAUCAUCGGUUCUUUAUGCCACACCGCUUGGCAAAGGAGAACAAACCAGGAACAACAUGAGAUCUCACAAGAAACCUAUUGUUAAGAAAAAAGGUGGUUGGUGGAGGCAGUUCUUCUUACUACUUAGACGUGCUUGGAUGCAGGCUUCUCGAGAUGGGCCCACCAACAAAGUGCGUGCCAGAAUGUCAAUUGCUUCUGCACUGAUAUUUGGAUCAGUUUUCUGGAGAAUUGGGAGAUCUCAGACGUCAAUCCAAGACCGGAUGGGUUUGCUUCAGGUGGCUGCGAUAAACACAGCAAUGGCAGCUCUCACAAAGACAGUCGGAGUGUUUCCAAAGGAACGUGCGAUUGUGGACAGAGAGCGUGCAAAAGGGUCUUAUUCUUUAGGUCCUUACUUGCUCUCUAAAUUAAUAGCUGAAAUUCCUAUUGGGGCUGCAUUUCCCUUGAUGUUUGGUGCUGUCUUAUACCCCAUGGCGCGACUAAAUCCUACUCUGUCCAGAUUUGGAAAGUUUUGCGGGAUAGUGACGGUGGAGUCUUUUGCGGCCUCUGCAAUGGGUCUGACUGUUGGGGGUAUGGUCCCAACCACAGAGGCUGCAAUGGCCGUGGGACCAUCCGUUAUGACUGUUUUCAUCGUGUUUGGAGGGUACUACGUCAAUGCAGACAAUACUCCGAUCAUCUUCCGCUGGAUUCCAUGUGUUUCACUCAUCAGAUGGGCUUUCCAGGGAUUGUGUAUAAAUGAGUUCAGCGGCCUUCAGUUUGAUCAUCAGAACUCAUUUGACAUCCGGACAGGAGAACAGGCGCUGGGAAGGCUUUCCUUUGGAGGAAGCCGUAUAAGAGAGACAAUAGCAGCUCAAACCAGGAUUAUGUUGUUCUGGUACUUCGCAGCAUAUCUUCUCCUGGAGAAGAAUAAGCCAAUGUAUCAAAAGCUCGAGGCACUUGGACUUGGCCAUGGCGAAAGCGGCAAUGCAGAACUGCUACUGGAAGGUGCAGAAGGUGUUGAGCCUUCUGCCGAUCAAGUGGAGGCCGAAGGUCCCCGGCGGCUGCUUGACGAUGAAUCUCCGGAACUCGACCAAAUCCGUCCCUUUGUACUGGAAGGUUUGUAAAAUAAAUACUAUAAAAUCAUUCGGGGGCGCGUUAGAUUCACGGCGACGCUCCAAAAAAAAUAAAAUAGGACAGGGGCUAAUGACACCAUUUACUGAUUGCACAAAAGAAGGGGUUGUUGCGGUCUUAUGAGAAGGUUUCUCCAUACUCUUGUCUGGUGCCAUUCACUCAUUUGAGGUAUGAUAUCCUCAUUUGUAAACAAAAAAAAAAAAAAAAUACUUUAAUUGUCUUCAGUGAUGGAUUUAAAUGGUGAUAAACAAUGUCCCGGAGAAUCUAUAUACCGAAAGAAGUCAGCUACAUAUAUGUAUAAUAUGUAGAUGUGAAGUAUUUCAUUUCAGGAAAUAGUAUAUAAUAAUAAAAAAACAAAA